AAAGCUCUCCAACCAAGACUGGAGGAGACGCUGCCUGUGGUUCAGUCGGCCUAAAAAAGGAGCAUCAUGUUCACCAGGUGGUUUUUCAGGAGAACUCUGGAGACUCACAGACUGCUGCACCAGUCCAGACAAAUCACCUGAGGGCGAAAGAAAAGAGAAACAUACUUAAUGGACCACAGAGAUAAUCUUCUUCAGCAGCUCUCUGCUGCCACAGUCUGACGGCUUUUUCACCCAACAGUACGAGCACGGCCCUCUGAGCUGAGAGCAGGCAGGAAAUCUGGCAGUAAAAUAUAAAUCCAAACUCGGUUAAACAUAAGGACAUGCAGAGCUGCAGGGCCGACCCAGAUCCCAUCUAAUAAAACUAACAUCAAAGCUGAGGUGUGCUACCUUGGUAUGGCCACCUCUCUGAGCAUCUGUGUGAUGUCCCUGUGGUAGUCUUCCUGUAAAUAAUCCAGACCUGGUUUUUCUUCAGUCCCAGAUCUGGUAACAGUGUUUACCUGGAACACUUCUGGUAAACGCCUUUUUUCUGUGUUUUCACCCGACCUCUGAUCUUUAGGUCUCAGAUCUCCUUCUCUUACUAUGACCUGCUGUUGUUUUCCCAGUAGGGUCUGUGGCUCCAGUGGCUGCGACUCGAAGCUCAAGUUUCUUCUCCCUGACAAGUGAGCUCCUGUUUAUACUGUUCCUUCCUCAGCUGAGUGCUGGACUGUUCCUCUGCUGAUCCUGCACGACAAACCCAGCACUGAGGCUCACAACCCAAAUCCUCAAUCCUAUCAGAUCUAUCUCCCCUUCUUCCUCCUCAUCUCUGAAGAGCUCCUCUUCAGAGCUAUGAAGUUCUACUGGCCUGUAGAGCAGCCAACGCUUUCUCCUCCGUUCACUUCGAUCCCACGUUCUUCUGUUUGUUGUUUUCU